rnacentral:rRNA from 1 species
AUUGAACGCUGGCGGAAUGCUUUACACAUGCAAGUCGAACGGUAGAGGGGGCAACCCCUCGAGAGUGGCGAACGGGUGAGUAAUAUAUCGGAACGUGCCCAGUCGUGGGGGAUAACGUAGCGAAAGAUACGCUAAUACCGCAUACGAUCUAAGGAUGAAAGCGGGGGAUCGCAAUACCUCGCGCGAUUGGAGCGGCCGAAAUCAGAUUAGGUAGUUGGUGGGGUAAAGGCUCACCAAGACAACGAUCUGUAGCUAGUCUGAGAGGACGACCAGCCACACUGGAACUGAGACACGGUCCAGACUCCUACGGGAGGCAGCAGUGGGGAAUUUUGGACAAUGGACGCAAGUCUGAUCCAGCCAUUCCGCGUGCAGGAUGAAGGCCCUCGGGUUGUAAACUGCUUUUGUACGGAACGAAAAGGUCUCUCUUAAUACGGGGGACUCAUGACGGUACCGUAAGAGUAAGCACCGGCUAACUACGUGCCAGCCGCCGCGGUAAGAC